UGGUAUAUAAGGUGGCGUUGGUAGUGACACUAUUAUCACUUGUUACCAGUACAAGCUCGACAGCAAUCAUGUUCUUCAAAGUGUUUACCUUCCUCGCCCUCGUGGCUGUUGCCUUCGCCAAGCCCGAGCCAAAGCCCGAGCCGCAGGUGGUGGCGUACUCCGCUCCCGCCGUGGUGCCCGCGGUGGGCUACUCCGGCUACUCGGCGUACUCCCCGUACACCUACUCUGCCCCGCUCGCCGCCGCCUCAGGCUACCCCUACGCCUACUCAGGAUACUACCUUCGUUAAAAACUGUUAAUACGACCGCCAGCGUAUGGACUCUGAAAUGCUUUACGAUUAUUAAAUGAACUUUUUAAACAAA